ensembl:lncRNA
GUAAGACACAUGCACUCCAGAAGGAGGGAGAUGAACUCCAGAAAAUUCAAGUAAUUGGCAACUCAGUAAAGUUUCUCUACAGCCCAUGGUCAGGUACAUGCCAGGACAUUCCCUUCAAAGUAAAGGACAGAUUGCUGCAUCACGUAUCCACUACUAAAAUGAAGGAAGCACAAUGACUGUUAAGCCACCUUGGGCUUUGGAAGCAACACAUUCCACACAUAGGAAAACUGCUCCAGCCCAUAUGGAAGGUGCCAGCUUUGAGUAGGGCUCAGGGGAGAGAAUCGCUCUGCAGCAGGUGCUGGCUGCAAGAACAAAAAUCUCAGCACAUUCUAUGAUAUUUGAGAUAUCAGUAGUAGAAAAAGAUACGGUGUGAAGUUUAUGGCAAGGCCCAGUGUAAGAAUCACAACCCAGGCUUCUGGGGUGAUGGAGCAAGGUCACACCAUAUGCAGCAGAGGAUUAAAUAUCUUUUGUUAAACAGCUCCUAGCAUGCUAAUGGGCCCUGAUAGAGCUGGAACGCUUGACGUUGGGAUACCAAGUGAUCCUGACUCUGGAAUUGCUCAUCGUGAGUUGGGAACAGUCAUAAAGUAAGAUAGGCCCAGUAGCAAUCCAUCAUAAGAUGGAAAUGGUACAUCUGGGACUGAGCAUGAGCAGGAAGAGAUCACAUUACAAGAAGCAUGAGCAGUGGGUCCAGAAUCCCAUGGCAUCCAUCAUGUCCCAUCGUGGCUUCCAUUGUGUAGCAGUGUCCCUCCUCAGCUCACAGUGAAGACCAUAUGGGCCUCCCAUCCAACCAGCUGAAGGAAGAAGAAAAACUCCUAGCUUGGUUUACAGAUGGGUUGAUUUGGUAUGUGGGUGAAAACCAAAAGUGGAUGUUGUCUGCAUUAUAGCCUUACUCAAACCAAAAGUGGAUGCUGUCUGCAUUAUAACCUUACUCACGAUUGGCUUUGAAAGACAGUAAUGAGAACUGUUUGAAAGACAGAUCUUCCCAACGGGCAGAGCUUCUGGAGGUGCAGCUGGUCACCCACUUUGUGUGAAACAAGUGGCCAAAAGUCAAAACGUACAUGGACUCAUGGACAAUGGUGAAUGGUCAUGGGCUGGAAGGAGAAAAAUUAGAAUACCUGGGACAAAGAGGUCUGGAGAAGAGACAUGUAGAUGAACAUACGAGAGUAGGCACAAGGUGUGAAGAUUUUUGUAUUGUAUAUUAAUGCCCACCCAAAAGCACCCACAUAGCAUGGGCAUCAAAUAACCAAGAGGGCAAAAUAACUUGACCAGUUGUCAUUCACUGACAUGAUAGGUAAACAGAUGACAUGGCCACAGUGGCAGAGAUGGAGGCUUUGCAUGGAUCAAAAAAACACAGACUCCCACUUAGAAAGGCCAAUCUAAUGAUUGCCUGCUUUGAAUGUUCAACCUGCCAGCAACGGACAGCAAUAAUGAGCCCCUAGUAUGGAUGGCACUACUCCUUAAGGAGAUUAACCGGUCACUUGGUAGCAAAAGCUCCUUUCAUCCUAGAAGAGCCAAAGAUUUUUCUCACAGGAAUAGAUACUUAAUCUGAGUAUGGGUUUGCCCUUCUGCCUGCAGUGCCUCAGCUAGCACCACUAUCAAGCCACUUACAGAAUGCCUGAUCUACAGACACGAAACAACUUAGUAUCCAGCAAGGGAAUCCAUUUUAGAGACCCACUGGCCAUGUCAUAGACUGUGUCAUUUAAAAGCUGCUGGCUAAAUACAGUUGGUAUGGUGUGCUGAAGGUACAGCUGAAGCACCAGCUCAAAUGCCACACUCUGCAAGGAUGCGAGUACCAUCCUUAAGGAUGUGGAUACAUGCUGAAUUACAGAACUUUAUAUGGCACUAUGUCUCCAAGAGGGAAAACUCAUGGAUCCAGGAACCAAGGGAGGGAAGCAGGAGUGGCCUCACUUACCAUCACUUUCAGUGACUCACUAGGGGUCCCCACAGCUCUGGAUUCUGCAGGGUUAGAGGUCCUGGUCCCCAGAAAGGGUGUGUUUUUGGCAGAGGAUGGCAAAAAUCCCAUUGAACAAUAAGCUACAGCUCCACUUGGACACUCCGGGCUCUGUGCGGCCAGGAACCAGGAGGCAAGAAGAGGAACCACUUCUGUCAGGGGUAAUUGACCUUGAUCAGCAGGAGCAGGCAGAGCUGCUGUUACAUGAUGGGAGCAGGGAGGAACGUCCAUGGAACUCAGUUGACCCACUUGGGUGCCUCUUGGAAGGCUCUUGCCUAAUUGUGACAAAUGUAGUGAUGUAGUAAUGGAGCCUAGACACGGGUAAGAUUACCAGGAAUUCAGGCCCCUCAGGAAGGAUGGUUUGGGAAACACCACCAUGUGAGCCACUGAGGCCAGCAGAGAGUGAGGGACUUUCGAACAGUUAGUGGAGGAGAGAGACAAUGAGUAUCAGUUGUGGUUAUGAGACCACCUGUAGCCAUGGGGGCUAUAGUUCAUCUCUCUAAAUUCCCUCUUUUAAGUUUCCCCUCAGGAAGAGAGGCCCACCAGAACCCCAGAAGAGCUGCUCCACAACUGUGCUAUGAAGUGGAGCCACACGGGACACAAGGUGUUACCCCCAUAAACUUUGGCAUUCCUAACUUCUUUUCAGUGUGUGCUUCUGGAAGAAUCUAACUGGAACAGAUGUGUCCAAGAGGCCCCUGAAUUCAAGCUGUUCCCUGCUCCCAAUCCUGGGAGGUGUGACCUGACUAAUCAGAACUGCUAUUUUCUCAUAUAUAAAAUUAAAGACAUUUCUUUCUUAUCUACAUUAUAUGAUUAUUGUGAUGCUAAAUGAAUAUGUGCAGGAAAAUGCUAUGCAAUUUGAAAAGCACUAUGUAAACUAUUAUAGUUUUUAUUGAAAGGCUGAAAGAGUUAAAGCAUUUCCCGGAUUACCUAACCAUCCUCAACAGUUAAAAAAAAAAUCCAGACAGAUGAUCAUUUUCAAGCCCUUUCAAAGCUAGUAUGGUGGAUGUGGUUUUUCUGUAGCUUUACUUAUCCCCAGGGAGUAAUUUAUACACUCAAAGAUCUUGCUUGACAAUCAGAUACAGACCUAAAUAAAGAAUUGUUUGGUACUAUGGUAACCUGCCAUGGGAAUUUCGGUUUCUUUCUUUCCCUUUCUAGGAUAACAAUUCCUAAGACAGAGGAAAUGAGAAACAUUGAAACAACUCUUUUGACAAAACACUGUGGCCAGCGCAUUGGGGAAAAAUACUUCACACCUAUAUGAUCACGAACCAAUUUUCUCUAGCACUAUUGUGAUAAGACAAUUUUAUAUCUGUGGGUAAAUAUUGCAAUUUUAAUAUACAUGUAAAUAAAAAUAUUUCCUAUAAACACAUUCUUUUAUUGUUCAUUCUUAGUAUUCAUACUUAUCUAUAAAAAUAUUUCCUAUAAACACAUUCUUUAUUCAUACUUAUCUAUAAUGUAUUACAAAAACACAGCUAGUGAUGAUGUCAUCACUUUUUAUCAGAAAAACUUUUAGCAGUAACUUUUUAGCAGAAAAGAUGGGGAAUUUUUCUAUAACGUGCUAUUGUUUGCUUAGCUAGUGAUACAGAUAUGCAAUGCGUUUUCUCUUUCUUUCUUCCUGCCUUUCAAAAGGUGUAUCUCUGAUUUGCAUUUGAGAGUUCACACAAGUUCAGCUGCAAGCUUUGAGAAUUUGUGGUUCCACAUAAAAAACUGUAAACGGGUUUAAAAACCAGUCCUGUUCCCCUUCUGCUCACUCUGCCCAAAGUGCCUUUUUUUUGGUCAAAGCAGAUCUAUAGGUCUAAAACGUCCAGCUGAGUGACAGGGUUAAAACUUUUACCUAUUUAUUCAGAUGUCAGGACAUUACUGAAGUAAAUGUAGCUGACGAUGCAUGGUUAACCCAUAUGGUUUUGCAUAUAUUUUAGAAAUAUGGAUAAAAGUCAAAGAAGAA